AGCGAACGCUGGCGGCAGGCCUAACACAUGCAAGUCGAACGAACUCUUCGGAGUUAGUGGCGGACGGGUGAGUAACACGUGGGAACGUGCCUUUUGGUUCGGAAUAACUCAGGGAAACUUGUGCUAAUACCGAAUGUGCCCUUCGGGGGAAAGAUUUAUCGCCAUUAGAGCGGCCCGCGUCUGAUUAGCUAGUUGGUGAGGUAACGGCUCACCAAGGCGACGAUCAGUAGCUGGUCUGAGAGGAUGACCAGCCACACUGGGACUGAGACACGGCCCAGAUUCCUACGGGAGGCAGCAGUGGGGAAUCUUGCGCAAUGGGCGAAAGCCUGACGCAGCCAUGCCGCGUGAAUGAUGAAGGUCUUAGGAUUGUAAAAUUCUUUCACCGGGGACGAUAAUGACGGUACCCGGAGAAGAAGCCCCGGCUAACUUCGUG
rnacentral:rRNA from 1 species